rnacentral:miRNA from 1 species
AAGGGGGAAGGACACAUGGAGA